GUCAAGAGGCUGCAAAUCACAUUUAUUCAGAUUUGGUGAAUACUACACAGAAUUUGCUGCCUGUGUCAGAAUGUUAAUAAGGAGACUCAAAGUCUGUGUUGGGACUAUAACCAAAUGGUCCUCCAGGUAAAGCUAAUUGGGGAAAUAUUCACCAGCUAAACCUGUGCCCCAAAAUGUGUAACACAGAAAUGUCAGUAAUGGUAUGCAAUGACACAGAAGUCAGAAACCAAGAGAAGAAGGAAUAUUCAAAAAAGGUUGAGAGGGAAUAUUUACCUGGAAAGAUGGGA
rnacentral:lncRNA from 12 species